AAGAGUAAGAAGUAUUGGCAGCAGCAAGCAGGCGGGCAGGCUGAGAUUUUGCAUGGAAAUCAUGAACCCUCUCUUGCUUUUCCUUUUUGAAAUAUUUUGGAAGGAGAGUUAUGAAUAGCCCAGAAAUAGGUCUCAUUUUGUGGGUGGGAAGAAUGACCAGAAGCAUAAAAGCUAAAUCUUCUGGCAAGUGCAAGGUACCUCUCUUGGAAUGUGCAGUAAACCCCAGAGGAGGAAUUGCUUGCUGUGAACUCCUGAACCAUCACAUCUGGAGUGAAGGCGAUGGUAAAGCCCUGUGAUAACACAAAGGAUGCUGCCUGAGAGCUUGGAUCUGCCUUUAACUCAUUGUGGCAAAGUUGGACAUCCCAAAGAUGGCGUAGAUGAACAUGACCAGGAAAAGCAGGAGGCCGAUGUUGAACAGAGCAGGAAGGGACAUCAUCAGAGCAAAGAGCAGCGUGCGGAUCCCCUUGGCGCCUUUGAUGAGGCGUAGGAUUCGGCCAAUCCUGGCCAGGCGGAUGACUCGGAACAGGGAUCUGACUAUACAGCCCCUGCCCUGGGCUAGGGACUGGAAUUUGCUACGUAACUCAGGCCUGGAACUCACGAAGCUCUGACAACCUGUGCCUCCCCAGUGCCGAGAUUAAAGUUUGAGACUUCCCAACUAGGUAGCCUAGGAUGGUCUUGAACUCCCUAUCCUCCUGGCAAAGUCUCCUUAGUGCUGGAUUACACAGAGGGGUUCAGAGUCACAGCAUCCUUAAUGCGAGAAUGUCAGAGUUUUGUGCUUCUCAGUCCUAGAGGACUCAUGCAAACUGUCUAAGCAAAAACCACGACUCCAAAACAUGGGACGGAAGGAGUUCCGUGUCAAAAAAGAAGCCUACUCUUAGAAUUGGGGUACAGGCUCAAGGAGAGGAACACAGAGUCUCUGCAAUAAGAUAAGGUGCUCCGAUGGGGUGGCCUCAUUGUGACUGGCCCCGGAACCAGCCACCGGGACUCAGCUGCAGGGUCUCAGUUUCCAGGGCCAAGAAGCACAAAGUCAAUGAAAGAUAUUAAUCUAAGAAUCCAGUUCUUAGCUCACUUACCAGAGCUCCGCUGCUGAGCAAGAUCAUGAGAACAAUGAAGCUUUCGAACCAGCUGUGUUCAACUAUCCGGUAACAUGUCUUCCUGAUGGUCCACCAGACUUUCCCUCUCCCAGACUCUACAUUAACUUGGCAGCACGGAAAUCUCCUCACACAACCUGCUUAGGUGAACUACCACAAAGGAACCAAAGACAAGCCCAUGAUUCUUUGGAACAGGCUUCAUCCUUGCACCCUGUGAUGGAAAUCUGUGGCCUUCAUUUGGACACGAGGCAGUGGGAAAAAUUACUGACAACAGAAUACGGAGCACUUCCCCAUGUUAAGUCAAACUAUUAACGACUGUAGUUAGAACGCCUUUUCUUCAGCUGGUAGCAACUUUCAAAUAAAACUGUCCCAAUUUGCAUUUUGACAGAAUUUUUACAGGCUAAACAGUGAAAGCCAAUUAACUCUCACAUUGCAGAGCUUACUGGGGUGUAGGCACAGGAAAAAACCAUGAUCAAAAACAUUGCAUGAGAAAACUAAUUUCAACAAAAGAGCAUUAAUAAAUAUUUACCCAAAGUUACAUUAUAAGCAAGUAAAGCUUUAGGUAAUUUUAUGUAGUGCCUCUUUCUCUUGAUAUUGAUUGUCUGUCAAUUAAAUUUAGAGUUUGGGUCAGAUGUAAUAGCUACACAGUAUUGUUGUUCCGUGGAAUAAAAAUUAUCAUGAUUUCAGACAUGAAUUGUAAUUAAUUCAUAUAAAAAAUAAAAUUAUUAUGAUCAAUAUUUAACUUUA